UGGUGGGUAGUUUGACUGGGGCGGUCUCCUCCUAAAGAGUAACGGAGGAGCACGAAGGUUGGCUAAUCCUGGUCGGACAUCAGGAGGUUAGUGCAAUGGCAUAAGCCAGCUUGACUGCGAGCGUGACGGCGCGAGCAGGUGCGAAAGCAGGUCAUAGUGAUCCGGUGGUUCUGAAUGGAAGGGCCAUCGCUCAACGGAUAAAAGGUACUCCGGGGAUAACAGGCUGAUACCGCCCAAGAGUUCAUAUCGACGGCGGUGUUUGGCACCUCGAUGUCGGCUCAUCACAUCCUGGGGCUGAAGUAGGUCCCAAGGGUAUGGCUGUUCGCCAUUUAAAGUGGUACGCGAGCUGGGUUUAGAACGUCGUGAGACAGUUCGGUCCCUAUCUGCCGUGGGCGCUGGAGAACUGAGGGGGGCUGCUCCUAGUACGAGAGGACCGGAGUGGACGCAUCACUGGUGUUCGGGUUGUCAUGCCAAUGGCACUGCCCGGUAGCUAAAUGCGGAAGAGAUAAGUGCUGAAAGCAUCUAAGCACGAAACUUGCCCCGAGAUGAGUUCUCCCUGACCCUUUAAGGGUCCUGAAGGAACGUUGAAGACGACGACGUUGAUAGGCCGGGUGUGUAAGCGCAGCGAUGCGUUGAGCUAACCGGUACUAAUGAACCGUGAGGCUUAACCUUACAA
rnacentral:rRNA from 1 species